GGUUAAGCGACUAAGCGUACACGGUGGAUGCCCUGGCAGUCAGAGGCGAUGAAGGACGUGCUAAUCUGCGAUAAGCGUCGGUAAGGUGAUAUGAACCGUUAUAACCGGCGAUUUCCGAAUGGGGAAACCCAGUGUGAUUCGUCACACUAUCAUUAACUGAAUCCAUAGGUUAAUGAGGCGAACCGGGGGAACUGAAACAUCUAAGUACCCCGAGGAAAAGAAAUCAACCGAGAUUCCCCCAGUAGCGGCGAGCGAACGGGGAGCAGCCCAGAGCCUGAAUCAGUGUGUGUGUUAGUGGAAGCGUCUGGAAAGGCGUGCGAUACAGGGUGACAGCCCCGUACACAAAAAUGCACAUAUUGUGAGCUCGAUGAGUAGGGCGGGACACGUGGUAUCCUGUCUGAAUAUGGGGGGACCAUCCUCCAAGGCUAAAUACUCCUGACUGACCGAUAGUGAACCAGUACCGUGAGGGAAAGGCGAAAAGAACCCCGGCGAGGGGAGUGAAAAAGAACCUGAAACCGUGUACGUACAAGCAGUGGGAGCACGCUUAGGCGUGUGACUGCGUACCUUUUGUAUAAUGGGUCAGCGACUUAUAUUCUGUAGCAAGGUUAACCGAAUAGGGGAGCCGAAGGGAAACCGAGUCUUAACUGGGCGUUAAGUUGCAGGGUAUAGACCCGAAACCCGGUGAUCUAGCCAUGGGCAGGUUGAAGGUUGGGUAACACUAACUGGAGGACCGAACCGACUAAUGUUGAAAAAUUAGCGGAUGACUUGUGGCUGGGGGUGAAAGGCCAAUCAAACCGGGAGAUAGCUGGUUCUCCCCGAAAGCUAUUUAGGUAGCGCCUCGUGAAUUCAUCUCCGGGGGUAGAGCACUGUUUCGGCAAGGGGGUCAUCCCGACUUACCAACCCGAUGCAAACUGCGAAUACCGGAGAAUGUUAUCACGGGAGACACACGGCGGGUGCUAACGUCCGUCGUGAAGAGGGAAACAACCCAGACCGCCAGCUAAGGUCCCAAAGUCAUGGUUAAGUGGGAAACGAUGUGGGAAGGCCCAGACAGCCAGGAUGUUGGCUUAGAAGCAGCCAUCAUUUAAAGAAAGCGUAAUAGCUCACUGGUCGAGUCGGCCUGCGCGGAAGAUGUAACGGGGCUAAACCAUGCAC
rnacentral:rRNA from 1 species